rfam:Erinaceus europaeus unplaced genomic scaffold scaffold00882, whole genome shotgun sequence
CUGCAUGUAAUUACACCUCACAACUUUCCUCAGGUGGGUUUCAAUGUUCACUAGCAGCAAAAAAGAUUCCCUGGUUGUAUAUGCAGUUCACUUUCUGCAUGUCUUGUUCUAAAUUACCUUUGAGGCAUUG